rnacentral:rRNA from 2 species
GGUAUUGAUUGGUGCUUGCAUCAUGAUUUACAUUUGAGUGAGUGGCGAACUGGUGAGUAACACGUGGGAAACCUGCCCAGAAGCGGGGGAUAACACCUGGAAACAGAUGCUAAUACCGCAUAACAACUUGGACCGCAUGGUCCGAGUUUGAAAGAUGGCUUCGGCUAUCACUUUUGGAUGGUCCCGCGGCGUAUUAGCUAGAUGGUGGGGUAACGGCUCACCAUGGCAAUGAUACGUAGCCGACCUGAGAGGGUAAUCGGCCACAUUGGGACUGAGACACGGCCCAAACUCCUACGGGAGGCAGCAGUAGGGAAUCUUCCACAAUGGACGAAAGUCUGAUGGAGCAACGCCGCGUGAGUGAAGAAGGGUUUCGGCUCGUAAAACUCUGUUGUUAAAGAAGAACAUAUCUGAAAGUAACUGUUCAGGUAUUGACGGUAUUUAACCAGAAAGCCACGGCUAACUAC